GAUGAACGCUAGCGGGAGGCUUAAUACAUGCAAGUCGAACGGUAACAUGAGAGCUUGCUCUUGAUGACGAGUGGCGCACGGGUGAGUAACGCGUACACAACCUACCUUGUACAGAGGGAUAGCCCUGGGAAACUGGGAAUAAUACCUCAUGGUUUUAUCUGAUCGCAUGAUUGGACUAAUAAAGUUCUGGCGGUACGAGAUGGGUGUGCGUGCUAUUAGCUAGUUGGUAAGGUAACGGCUUACCAAGGCUACGAUAGCUAGGGGGCGUGAGAGCGUGAUCCCCCACACGGGUACUGAGACACGGACCCGACUCCUACGGGAGGCAGCAGUAAGGAAUAUUGGACAAUGGGCGCAAGCCUGAUCCAGCCAUCCCGCGUGCAGGAUGACGGCCCUAUGGGUUGUAAACUGCUUUUAUACAGGACGAAACGCUGACAUUUAUGUUAGUUUGACGGUACUGUAGGAAUAAGCACCGGCUAAUUCCG
rnacentral:rRNA from 1 species